rnacentral:rRNA from 1 species
GAUGAACGCUGGCGGCGUGCUUAACACAUGCAAGUCGAACGGAAAGGCUCCUGCUUGCAGGGGUACUCGAGUGGCGAACGGGUGAGUAACACGUGGGUGACCUGCCCUGCACUUCGGGAUAAGCCUGGGAAACUGGGCCUAAUACCGGAUAGGACGACGGCUUGGAUGCCAUUGUGGAAAGUUUUCCGGUGUGGGAUGAGCUCGCGGCUUAUCAGCUUGUUGGUGGGGUAAUGGCCUACCAAGGCGUCGACGGGUAGCCGGCCUGAGAGGGUGUACGGCCAAAUUGGGACUGAGAUACGGCCCAGACUCCUACGGGAGGCAGCAGUGGGGAAUAUUGCACAAUGGGCGCAAGCCUGAUGCAGCAACGCCGCGUGGGGGAUGACGGCCUUCGGGUUGUAAACUCCUUUCGUCAGGGACGAAGCGAAAGUGACGGUACCUGGAUAAGAAGCACCGGCUAACUACGUG